GACGAACGCUGGCGGCGUGCUUAACACAUGCAAGUCGAACGGAAAGGCCCUGCUUGCAGGGUACUCGAGUGGCGAACGGGUGAGUAACACGUGGGUGCUCUGCCCUGCACUUCGGGAUAAGCCUGGGAAACUGGGUCUAAUACCGGAUAGGAGCCAUUUUUAGUGUGAUGGUUGGAAAGUUUUUUCGGUGUAGGAUGAGCUCGCGGCCUAUCAGCUUGUUGGUGGGGUAAUGGCCUACCAAGGCGGCGACGGGUAGCCGGCCUGAGAGGGUGGACGGCCACAUUGGGACUGAGAGACGGCCCAGACGCCUACGGGAGGCAGCAGGGGGGAAGAUUGCACAAUGGGCGCAAGCCUGAUGCAGCGACGCCGCGUGGGGGAUGACGGCUUUCGGGUUGUAAAAUCCUUUCGCUAGGGACGAAGCUUUUUGUGACGGUACCUAGAGAAGAAGCACCGGCUAACUACGUG
rnacentral:rRNA from 1 species